rnacentral:rRNA from 1 species
AUUGAACGCUGGCGGCAUGCUUUACACAUGCAAGUCGAACGGCAGCGCGGGCUUCGGCCUGGCGGCGAGUGGCGAACGGGUGAGUAAUGCAUCUGAACGUGCCCAGCAGUGGGGGAUAGCCCGGCGAAAGCCGGAUUAAUACCGCAUACGACCUGAGGGUGAAAGCGGGGGACCGAAAGGCCUCGCGCUAUUGGAGCGGCCGAUGUCGGAUUAGCCAGUUGGUGGGGUAAAGGCUUACCAAGGCGACGAUCCGUAGCUGGUCUGAGAGGACGACCAGCCACACUGGGACUGAGACACGGACCAGACUCCUACGGGAGGCAGCAGUGGGGAAUUUUGGGCAAUGGGGGCAACCCUGAUCCAGCCAUGCCGCGUGCGGGAAGAAGGCCUUCGGGUUGUAAACCGCUUUUGUUCGGGAAGAAAUCCUCUGGGCUAAUACCCCGGGGGGAUGACGGUACCGGAAGAAUAAGCACCGGCUAACUACGUG